rnacentral:rRNA from 1 species
UACAGAGGCCUCGAGCGUUAGGCGGAAUCACUGGGCUUAAAGCGUGUGUAGGCGGACUUCUAAGUACCUUGUGAAAUCCCACGGCUCACCCGUGGAACUGCUGGGUAUACUGGUCGUCUUGAGCCUUCUAGGGGCUACCGGAACAAAUGGUGGAGCGGUGAAAUGCGUAGAUAUCAUUGGAACGCCAAUGGUGAAAACAGGUAGCUGGGGAAGUGCUGACGCUGAGACACGAAAGCCAGGGGAGCGAACGGG